rnacentral:rRNA from 1 species
AGUGAGCGCUGGCGGUAGGCCUAACACAUGCAAGUCGAACGGCAGCACAGUAAGAGCUUGCUCUUACGGGUGGCGAGUGGCGGACGGGUGAGGAAUACAUCGGAAUCUACUUUUUCGUGGGGGGUAACGUAGGGAAACUUACGCUAAUACCGCAUACGACCUACGGGUGAAAGCAGGGGAUCUUCGGACCUUGCGCGAUUGAAUGAGCCGAUGUCGGAUUAGCUAGUUGGCGGGGUAAAGGCCCACCAAGGCGACGAUCCGUAGCUGGUCUGAGAGGAUGAUCAGCCACACUGGAACUGAGACACGGUCCAGACUCCUACGGGAGGCAGCAGUGGGGAAUAUUGGACAAUGGGCGCAAGCCUGAUCCAGCCAUACCGCGUGGGUGAAGAAGGCCUUCGGGUUGUAAAGCCCUUUUGUUGGGAAAGAAAAGCAGCAGGUUAAUACCCCGCUGUUCUGACGGUACCCAAAGAAUAAGCACCGGCUAACUUCGUG